AGCGAACGCUGGCGGCAGGCCUAACACAUGCAAGUCGAACGAAGUCUUCGGACUUAGUGGCGGACGGGUGAGUAACACGUGGGAACGUGCCUUUAGGUUCGGAAUAACUCAGGGAAACUUGUGCUAAUACCGAAUGUGCCCUUCGGGGGAAAGAUUUAUCGCCUUUAGAGCGGCCCGCGUCUGAUUAGCUAGUUGGUGAGGUAAAGGCUCACCAAGGCUACGAUCAGUAGCUGGUCUGAGAGGAUGACCAGCCACAUUGGGACUGAGACACGGACCAAACUCCUACGGGAGGCAGCAGUGGGGAAUCUUGCGCAAUGGGCAAAAGCCUGACGCAGCCAUGCCGCGUGGAUGAUGAAGGUCUUAGGAUUGUAAAAUCCUUUCACCGGUGAAGAUAAUGACUGUAGCCGGAGAAGAAGCCCCGGCUAACUUCGUGCCAGCCGCCGCCGUAAGAC
rnacentral:rRNA from 1 species